rnacentral:rRNA from 1 species
UACGUAGGGGGCAAGCGUUGUCCGGAAUCAUUGGGCGUAAAGCGCGUGUAGGCGGCUUGGUAAGUCUGCUCUGAAAGCCCGGGGCUCAACCCUGGGAGGCGGGUGGAUACUGCUGAGCUCGAGUCCGGAAGAGGCGAGUGGAAUUCCUGGUGUAGCGGUGAAAUGCGCAGAUAUCUGGAGGAACACCAGUGGCGAAGGCGGACUUCCUGGCCGUGUUCUUGACGCUGAGGCGCGAAAGCUAGGGGAGCAACGGGG